rfam:Jannaschia seosinensis strain CECT 7799 genome assembly, contig: 0194
GGGGUCGUAGCUCAGUUGGUAGAGCGCGUCGUUCGCAAUGACGAGGUCAGGGGUUCGAUUCCCCUCGGCUCCA